CGACUAAUGAGAGGCUUUAUCCCCAGCUUGAGAUAAAGCCUCUCAUUAGUCGCG
rnacentral:sRNA from 1 species